UACUCCCGCCGGCGACCGGCGCACGGGUGAGUAACACGUAUGAAACCUGCCCGUAGCAGGGGGAUAAGCGGAAGAAAUUCCGUCUAAUACCGCGUAACAACCCGAGGAGGCAUCUCCUCGGGUUUAAAGGAAGCGAUUCCGGCUACGGAUGGUCAUGCGUCGCAUUAGCUAGUUGGCGGGGUAACGGCCCACCAAGGCGGCGAUGCGUAGGGGUUCUGAGAGGAAGGUCCCCCACACUGGUACUGAGACACGGACCAGACUCCUACGGAAGGCAGCAG
rnacentral:rRNA from 1 species